rnacentral:rRNA from 1 species
GGGGAAUAUUGGACAAUGGGCGAAAGCCUGACCAGGCAAGGCCGCGUGGGUGAAGAAGUCCUUGGGAUGGUAAACAACUUAAGGUGGGGGGGAGGGGUUCUGGCUUAUAAUCAAGGAAUUUUACGGUACCGGCAGGAAUAGGCCCGGGUAACUUUGUGCCAGCAGCCGCGGUAAUACGAAGGGUGCAAGCGUUAAUCGGAAUUACUGGGCGUAAAGCGCGCGUAGGUGGUUCGUUAAGUUGGAUGUGAAAGCCCCGGGCUCAACCUGGGAACUGCAUCCAAAACUGGCGAGCUAGAGUAUGGCAGAGGGUGGUGGAAUUUCCUGUGUAGCGGUGAAAUGCGUAGAUAUAGGAAGGAACACCAGUGGCGAAGGCGACCACCUGGGCUAAUACUGACACUGAGGUGCGAAAGCGUGGGGAGCAAACA